UUACGGACAGUGCCUGGUGGGUAGUUUGACUGGGGCGGUCUCCUCCCAAAGAGUAACGGAGGAGCACGAAGGUGGGCUAAACACGGUUGGACAUCGUGUGGUUAGUGCAAUGGCAUAAGCCCGCUUGACUGCGAGAAUGACAAUUCGAGCAGGUGCGAAAGCAGGUCAUAGUGAUCCGGUGGUUCUGAAUGGAAGGGCCAUCGCUCAACGGAUAAAAGGUACUCCGGGGAUAACAGGCUGAUACCGCCCAAGAGUUCAUAUCGACGGCGGUGUUUGGCACCUCGAUGUCGGCUCAUCACAUCCUGGGGCUGAAGUCGGUCCCAAGGGUAUGGCUGUUCGCCAUUUAAAGUGGUACGCGAGCUGGGUUUAGAACGUCGUGAGACAGUUCGGUCCCUAUCUGCCGUGGGCGUUGGAAAAUUGAAAGGGGCUGCUCCUAGUACGAGAGGACCGGAGUGGACGAACCUCUGGUGUUCGGGUUGUCAUGCCAAUGGCAUUGCCCGGUAGCUACGUUCGGAAUCGAUAAGCGCUGAAAGCAUCUAAGCGCGAAGCGAGCCUUGAGAUGAGUUUUCCCUGGCACUAUAAGUGUCCUAAAGGGUUGUCGUAGACUACGACGUUGAUAGGCAGG
rnacentral:rRNA from 1 species